AAAUAUAUGAGUAUUAAUGCCAUGCUUGCAUCACCAAGAGAUAUAUGAAUUGAUGCUAUGAUUGCUAUAAUUUGUAUUAUGCCUUAUUUGUAUCAUUUAAUGAUAUCAAAAUCUUACUUCGUAGUUUUACAUGUUGAUAUCUUACAAUAUGAUGAAUUGCUACUAUUACCAUCAUUCAAACCUAUUAUGUAAAAUUUGAAAAUGAAUGUCAAG
rnacentral:lncRNA from 1 species